rnacentral:rRNA from 1 species
CGGGGGUAGCUUGCUACCUGCCGGCGAGUGGCGAACGGGUGAGUAAUACAUCGGAACGUGCCCUGUAGUGGGGGAUAACUAGUCGAAAGACUAGCUAAUACCGCAUACGACCUGAGGGUGAAAGUGGGGGACCGCAAGGCCUCAUGCUAUAGGAGCGGCCGAUGUCUGAUUAGCUAGUUGGUGGGGUAAAGGCCCACCAAGGCGACGAUCAGUAGCUGGUCUGAGAGGACGAUCAGCCACACUGGGACUGAGACACGGCCCAGACUCCUACGGGAGGCAGCAGUGGGGAAUUUUGGACAAUGGGGGCAACCCUGAUCCAGCAAUGCCGCGUGUGUGAAGAAGGCCUUCGGGUUGUAAAGCACUUUUGUCCGGAAAGAAAUCGCACUGGUUAAUACCUGGUGUGGAUGACGGUACCGGAAGAAUAAGGACCGGCUAACUACGUGCCAGCAGCCGCGGUAAUACGUAGGGUCCAAGCGUUAAUCGGAAUUACUGGGCGUAAAGCGUGCGCAGGCGGUUGUGCAAGACCGAUGUGAAAUCCCCGGGCUUAACCUGGGAAUUGCAUUGGUGACUGCACGGCUAGAGUGUGUCAGAGGGAGGUAGAAUUCCACGUGUAGCAGUGAAAUGCGUAGAGAUGUGGAGGAAUACCGAUGGCGAAGGCAGCCUCCUGGGAUAACACUGACGCUCAUGCACGAAAGCGUGGGGAGCAAACAGGAUUAGAUACCCUGGUAGUCCACGCCCUAAACGAUGUCAACUAGUUGUUGGGGAUUCAUUUCCUUAGUAACGUAGCUAACGCGUGAAGUUGACCGCCUGGGGAGUACGGUCGCAAGAUUAAAACUCAAAGGAAUUGACGGGGACCCGCACAAGCGGUGGAUGAUGUGGAUUAAUUCGAUGCAACGCGAAAACCUUACCUACCCUUGAC